AUGAAACUUUUGCUCAGUUUUUCCAGAUUUCUACAACAAGAUGUUUACUGCAAAUACUGCAAACUGGGUUACUUUUGACGAUGAAUCCCAGUCUCCUCAGAGGGCAAAAGAAAAUGACAACGUUUGCAGACCAAAUGGGCUUAAACUCACACUGCCUAAAAUGCAAGAUUUUUCAAACCAAUUGUCUUCCAUCACCUGUACUUCUCUCGCAUCUCCUAUAAGUGACUAUUACUAUAGCCCUGAUCCCCCCAGUAAUUCUCCACUCUGCACACCCACCAGAGACUAUCCUGUCAGUCCUUGCUUUCCCAAAUCAGGAACUCAUUUUCUAAGUCCUAUUCCAGAAUUGUCAUCCAACAUUAAUCAUCUCCCACUGAUUGAACCACCUUCUCAAAAAUUGAUUGGAAUAUCUCAGCCUGUACACAGUUCAGAAUUUUCUACUCUGAAACCAAUACAUGGCGCACAUGUUAUGCAUCAAGAAAACUCAAAGAAAUUGGAAAAUUCCUUAGACUCACAAACCUUGUUUCAGAAUGUUUCAAGUGACUCUGCUUUCUCUAAUCCAUUUUGGUCAGAAGAUUCAUGUACUAUGUCUUUGUCCAGCUUUCAUGGACAUGGAAAAGAGUCAGAUUUUGAAAGAGAUUAUUCUUUUAAAGGGAAGAAAAGCUGGCCAGAUCAGAAAAGCCUAAACCAGGGUUCAUUCAAUUAUAUUUGUGAGAGGCUUGAACACUUGAAAACAGAAACUUCGAACACUGAAAGAGCUUUGAGGCCAGUUCCAUUUAUGUGCACUAGAGAUGGCCUUUCUUCAUUUAUUCCAAGCAGUCUCUUUAACAGCCAGAGAAUAGAUGGCUGGCCUUUCAUGUUGAGGAUUCCUGAAAAGAAAAAUAUGAUGUCAUCAAGGCAGUGGGGUCCUAUUUACCUUAGAGUUUUAUCAGGAGGAAUCCUACAAAUGUAUUAUGAAAAAGGUCUUGAAAAACCUUUCAAAGAAUUCCAGCUGCAACCAUUUUGCAGGCUUUCAGAACCAAAGUUAGAGAACUGCAACAUCUCUGGAAAAAUCCAUACAGUGAAAAUUGAAUAUGUGACUUAUACAGAGAAAAAGAAAUACCCUAAAACUGAAGUAGUUCAUGAAGCAGAGAUUGAACAGAUGCUGAAAUUAGGAACAACUGAUUACAGUGACUUCACUGACUUCCUAAUGAUAGUUGAGGAAGAGUUAAUGAAGCUUCCUCCUAUUUCAAAACCAAAGAGACAUUAUGAAGAACAAGAAAUGAUCGUGGAAAUAGUGGAUAAUUUUUGGGGGACAAUUAGUAAAGCAGAAGAGAGGUUAAUUGAAACUGCUGUCAUAACUCAUAUUUAUUCAUUAAACUUUUUGAAUGGUAAUUCUGAGUGCUUUAUGACACUAAAUGACUUGGAGCUUCAAAAGAGGGAUGAACAUUAUUUUGAGUCAGACAUUAAGAAAAAAUGGAUCAAAAUUAGUGACUAUCACUUUCAUCAAUGUGUGAAGAAACAAGAAUUUGAGCAAUCAAGAAUAAUCAAAUUUACACCACCAGAUGGCUGUAGAGUAGAACUAAUGCGUUAUAGGACACAAUAUAAUGGAUCAGAUCUUCCAUUUUCUGUCAAAGCCUUGUUAGUCGUUCAAGGAGCUUAUGUCGAACUGCAAGCUUUCAUAAACAUGUCUUCAGCAUAUUCAUACCCUACAAAACACUGUGAGAAUGUAAUGGUUCACUUUCCUGUUCCCUCACAAUGGAACAAAACUCUUUGGACUAUGAACCUCCAAAGACAGAGAUCCCUGAAAGCAAAAAUGAACAGAAGAACUUGCCUUGGCUCUUUAAAUGAGGUUGAAUCUGACUCCAUUAUUCAUGUCUCAGUUGGAACAGCCAAGUAUGAAAGUGCCUAUAGAGCUAUUGUGUGGAAAAUUGACAGACUACCAGAUAAAAACUCAAAUCCAGGUCAUCUGCACAGUUUGUCUUUCAAACUAGAACUUGGCUCAGAUCAAGAAAUCCCUUCCGAUUGGAGCCCUUUUGCUAUGGUGCAGUUUGUUGUGUCUGACACAUGUGCCUCAGGAACUGAAGUGAAAUCAUGGGGUAUUGAUAGGGAUGUACAGCCUCAGAAACAUGUGAUUCAGAAAGCAUGUUAUAAUUACCAGGUUGAAAUUGAGAAGAAAUGGAUUAGACUUGAGGGAGAAGAUCCCAAUAAGGGUGGAGAUUGUAACAUACAGUAGAACAGAGAAGUAAUCUGGAUUCCUUUUGAGAUUGUGAGAAAUAUUUUAAUAUAAGCAGGAUAAUUUAAAUGCAGUAAAGCAAUGGAUUUCAGUAUAUAAUUUUCCAACUGUCAUGUAAAAAGUUUAAGUACGUAAUCGUCAGUUUGCUUUCUAAACAUUUAAUAUAUUAACUAUAACAUUAUAAGGAUAAUACUAUAAGUUGGUUCUGUUUCAGAGUUUGUGGGAAACGAAUGGAACUCCAUAAAGCAGAUAUCCUUUUCCUGAGAUAAUACAACUACGGUAUGCACUGCAAGUGCCAUAUAAUUGCUGGAGAAACUAUAUUUGGGUUAAUGAACUGCAGAUAGAUUUUGUUUGUACUGUUGUAUAUUCCUAAAUACCUUUCUGCCUUUCAACACAAAGGACAUACUAUAUUGAAAAUAACUAUAUUUUAUAUGACUUCAAAGUCAGUUCAUCAGAAAUCUUUUUAGUGAUAGCAUCCAAAUAUUUUAACUUUUGAUGUUGUCUAGUAUUAUAAGAGAUAGAUAAAAUCUGUCUGUAUAAUCCUUUACAUUCUUCCCUACUUUCACUAAAUAAAUGCAGGCCUAGCUAUAUUUAUUGGUAGAUUCAUUGGUGAGCUUAAACGUUUUACUGUAAGUUGAAUCUUAUACAUUGUAAGUACUUCAGUAUGUUCUUUUGCUACAUAAAAGUAUACUGUACGUAUGGAAAAUGAUUCACUAGAGUACAAGAUAUUUUUCAGGAUAGUAUGGUUGGCAAAAAUAGAGAGCUAAUCCAUUGCUUCCUUCCAAAAUUGUUAAUAUAGGGAAAGCAUUGCAAUAAUUUGAACUGUUCCCUUCCUUUGGGGUUUUGGUGAAAAUAGGUUUUCCUUUGUAAUAUUUUGCCUUUGGUUAAAAAUUAUUUGAAUCUCCAACAAGAACAAAUGUUAGAUUGGAAAAAAAAGCCUUCAUUUGUUCUUCGGAGAAGUUGAAGAACAAGGUGUCUCAUAUGAACAUGAAAAGCAAGAUGUUCUUUUGUUUUGCCAGCUGAGCUAGAGUUUACUUAAGGAGUGUGGAGUGGAUUGCACCUGACUCUAAAGGAAAACAGCUAUACCCUUUGGGCUAUUUUGAACUUAUUUUUAAAAUUUAUUAUUUAGAUGUAUUUGGACAUUUGGGAAGAGGAUUCAUCACUGUUUUCAAUCUUGAGAUCCCAAGUUAAGAAAGCAGGGCUCAAGGAGAGCUGUUUCCACAUUGAUUUCUUUGCUGAUGGUCUCUUUAGCAGUUUCCCCACUUCCAGGCUGCUCUGAGACCUUGUAGUCACCUUUUAUUCUCAGAAAAGGGUGAAAGAAAACUUAAUGUGAGUGGCUGCCCCCCUCCCAUUUUUUAUACUGGCACAUUGUGUAAACCCUUCUGGCUGAAAUAAUA